GUGGCAGUAGCUCAAUGAUAGCUCCCGCUUCAUACGCGGGAAGACCUGCGUUCGAUUCCCGGCUGCUUCC
rnacentral:tRNA from 1 species